UUUGAGUUUGUGUCCACUGUGGUUGUGAGAUCAGGGAGCUUUCUCAGUGAUACAUGCUUGUUGACAGUGCAGGAGGUUUUUGUACGGCCACUUAAUGAGUUUGUAUCACUGUGGUACACUUUUGGUGGAGGAACCAAACUCAUCUUUCACUCGGGCGCCAUGCUCAGGCCCUCCGUCUCUCUGCUGGCCCCCUCCUCCUCUGAGCAGCUCUCUGGGGGCUCGCUCACACUGGCCUGCCUGCUGACCGGCUACUCUCCUCAGGGAGCCGUGGUGAGCUGGGAGGUGGACGGCACAGAGGUGACAGAGGGGGUCCUGAGCAGCUCGGAGGAGGAGAAGAGCGGACGCUACAGCAGCAGCAGCAGCCUGAGCCUGAGCCAGGAGCGCUGGAUGUCAGGAGAGCUGUACUCCUGCAGGGUCCUCCAUCAUGGCCACGGCCAGACCCAGUCCCUCCGCAGGAGCCGGUGUGAGGGCUAGAGGGGCCGCUGGAGCCCAGGAGAACACAUGCUGCUCUGAUCAUCAGGAGUUUUAAUGUUUGUAGAGGAAAGUGAAGCUUUGUGUGGCCGAGAACAACACUGCUGUAAAGUGUUGGACAGCAACAACUCAGAGAGUGAUGUGUGAAGCUCAGCAGAGAUGAGAGUGUGCUUAGUAACUGUCAUGUUGAUGAUUCAGGAUGUUCCUAAUAAAGCUUUCUCUGAUAAAUAACA